rnacentral:rRNA from 1 species
UGGGGAAUCUUGCGCAAUGGGCGAAAGCCUGACGCAGCGACGCCGCGUGAGUGAUGAAGGCCUUAGGGUUGUAAAGCUCUGUGGAGAGGGACGAAUAAGUCGUAGCUAAUACCUCCGGCGAUGACGGUACCUCUUUAGCAAGCACCGGCUAACUCUGUGCCAGCAGCCGCGGUAAGACAGAGGGUGCAAACGUUGUUCGGAAUUACUGGGCGUAAAGCGCGUGUAGGCGGCUGCGCAAGUCGGGUGUGAAAGCCCUGGGCUCAACCCAGGAAGUGCACUCGAAACUGCGUAGCUGGAGUCUCGGAGAGGGAGGCGGAAUUCUGGGUGUAGAGGUGAAAUUCGUAGAUAUCCAGAGGAACACCGGUGGCGAAGGCGGCCUCCUGGACGAGAACUGACGCUGAGACGCGAAAGCGUGGGGAGCAAACAGGAUUAGAUACCCUGGUAGUCCACGCCGUAAACGAUGAGUGCUAGAUGUCGCGGGCAUUGACCCCUGCGGUGUCGUAGCUAACGCAUUAAGCACUCCGCCUGGGGAGUACGGCCGCAAGGCUAA